UAACAAUUAAAGGGCCAUGCAAGUCGCAAUUAAUUCAGCAGUAUUUGAGUCUGAGAUACAAAUGGAGCAUGAGAAAAUAACCUGCUGAAUUGCGUCAGACUCCACAUUAUGGCACUUGCUUCGAGUUUCCAAAUGGAGGAGCCAUCAACGUUCCACUUAAAGAAAUUAGGAGAGGCAAACAGCUUAUGGGAGAAUGAUGACAAAAGGUAUUGGACCAUACUCUGAUGACUUCAGAAGAGAUAGACGAAUAUGUAGAUUCAGGACUUUAUCCCUCUGAUUCAUCAAAUAAAAUGAAUAGGAGAAUCUGGAACAAAGGCUUUCAUCAAGUAGAGAUGCGAAAUAAGAUCAAAGAGCAAAGAGA
rnacentral:misc_RNA from 1 species